rnacentral:rRNA from 1 species
AUGCCAGCAAGUUUGCAACGCACGCAAAGACCAAGCCCCUCCACAAAACAGGGCUGGAACAAAUCUGGGAGCCGCCCAUGGGAGAGGCAGCCAUGGCAGAUCGGGGAGGAGGAGAAGAAGGAAGAGCAAACACAAAAUUCGGAGAGGGAAAUGUACCUGAGGAGAAGCAGCAGGGAGAUCAACAACACGAUCAUCUACAGGAUAUUCCAACGACAAGGACUAAGAGGUGCAGCAAAGCGCGCAUGCCCUUCUAGUCAAGAGAAGAAAGAUGGCAAAGGAAUCCUGAGAAUCGCACCGUAUGCUAAAUCUGCUAACACAAUUUUGAAUAGUCAAAUCCCUGUCAAGUUAGUACUGGUGGAGGAGUUUUUUUUUUAUCUAGAGUUAAGGUACAAGAAAGCUACGAAUUUAAUCUUUUUGGUUGUUGCGUCGUGA